CCGGGCACGUGAUCUCCGCGCACCCGGAAGCGGACCGUCCGUCCGGCUGUCCCAUCUGGACCCUUGCGCGUGCGGCUUUAUCAGCCGUGGUAGUGUGUGCGCGCUUGGCCGGCCCGUGACGGUAGCACAGCACACGCGCCACAGGGGAGAGCGCGGGAAGUCGGAUGCAGGACGCCCAGGCCUGUCUUCCGGGCAGCAGGUGGCCUGAGGAUGCCUGGACACUUGACCCGGAACCAUUUCUGAAGUGGACAGAGUGGGGCGGCGCCCGGGGCUGAAGCUGGACUCUGCCUGCAUUGGCGGGAGCCGUGGCCAACGUCCAGGACCAGGUGUGAGCUCCGGCCCUUGGCCGACGUGGACAGCAGGUUCGGGUGCUGUGCCCUGCUGGCCUGGGUGUGUGUGUGUGUGUGUGUGUGUGUGUAUGUGUGCGCAGAGGGGGACGGAAGGGCGGGCCGGGCUGCGUGCAGCAGGGACCCUGGGCUCUGGGGGCCCGCGUACCCCGGAAACACCUGCUCUCUGGGGGUAGCCCCGGCCGGGCUCGGGCACCCGGCCCACGCCCAUCUCCUUCCCGCCCGGGGCCCAGGCUCUCUUUCAGGCUCCGGGAGAUGGCCACGUGGGUGCUGUUAUGGUUCCCCGACACCAGGGUGUUGCUGCUCUGGGUGGAGGCGUUUCGCUGUCUUCCUCCCCACCCUGCUCGUCCUUAUCACCGUCCCUGCCCUGGUGCUGGGUGCGCCUGGCGUCUUGGUGGGCUUGCUGGUGCCGAAUGAGGUUUUGAUUCAAGGUGAAGGUUCGCUCCCAGGUCUGACACUUGGACGAUGCACGUGGGCAUCUUCCUAGGUGUGUUAUUUAUAUUCCAGUAAAGAAUUUUGGGAGACUCUGGAACCUUCCCUGAAUGGGUUGUAUUUAACAGUGGCACUUCAGCCAACGCUAAGGAGGAGCUGGUUUUAGGCGGCGGCUGCCCCACAGCCCCGCGUACCCCACCAUCCACAAGUACACAGGAUGCCUGUUGGAUGCCUGCAUGGGGUCAUUCCCAGAUGUUCCAGGGUCUGAAAACUCCCCAGGAAGGCCCUGCUCAUUCAUCUUCGUGGUAAAGUGAUAUCCCGCCUACAAAGUGUGCUGAGGGGAGCGUGGCCAGCUGCCAUCUCUUUAAUAUUUAGAAAGCUGCCUUCAUACCUCCUUGCUCUUCCUGCAUGUUUCUCUCUGCAUUUGUGGUCUCCAGUUUUCUGGGAAUUCAGUGGGAUGGUUUCUUAUCUGUUAGCUUGUCAGAAACAGGCGUGAGGACAAUCAAAUGUUCAUCUAUUCACAUCUGGUGUUCUGCAGGGAACAGCGUUUAGACCCCUACCGUGUUUAACUGUAUAAAUGGUUUCUAUCUAUCAUCUAAAUCAGAACUGCUUAUGUGCAGAGCACACUGCAUUGGAUCCACACAGGAUCCGUGCUGGGGAGGGCGCCUGCUCUCUGGACCUCUGUGAACGCUGGGAACUUAGAAACCGUAGGCCCUUAUCUUUUCAUGAGGAUUUCUAGUUGAAGUGUAGCUUGCAAUCAAUGCACCGUGGGGUGUGUGUGUGCGCGCGUGCGUCCAUGCACAUGUGCACACACACAUAUGUGUAUCUUUAGGUGUGUGCAUAUCUGCGUCUUCGUUUCUUACUGUGCCUUUAUGCAUUGUGUACAUUUGUGUCAUAAGCAGUUCCCGCGUGUCUUUACGUGUUUCUCUGUGGACUUGCUAUCGCAUGGCCUGUUGCUGUCUGUCUGUCUCUCUGUUUAACUGUGAUGUCUCUCUGUACGUCUUUGUGGUCCUCUAUGCCAGCAGAGGUUUGUGUAAUUGUGUUCGUGUGCCUCUGGUCAUCUUGUUUAUGGGUCUUCCUCUGCGUGUGGUUUUAGUGUGUGUGUGUGUGUAUGUGUGUGUCUUAUAAAUGCUCCCCCUGUCCACAUCACCUCCUUUUCUUCUGUGGCUGGAGGCAGACCAUCCAUCUUCAAGUCUGAGGAAAAUUGCUGGCCUGGACCAUGGCGGCAGGAGCCGGCUAUCUCUGUGAUGAGUCUGAGGCGUGGCUUGCAGGGCCUCUCGGGUCUGCCCUCACCCUCAGCUGUGCAGCUGUCUGCUGCAAAGCCUGCAGUGGAGAGGCAUUGCCAGUGUUGGAAUCAAGGGCUCCUUCUUUUCUGCUGCUCACAGGGUCUGCACACAACCCCUCCGUGGCCUCGCUCACUGCUCCCCACGAAGGAAGAUGCUUGGAGAUGGUGGGCGGGCCUAAGCAGUCCGUUCUCCUGCCAGCUCCCAGUAGCUCUUGUCUCGAAAUGUCCUUGUUUGCAGGAUAAGCAGCACUGUUGGCUCUGUUGACCAAGGGCUGUGAUUUAGGUGUAGUUUGUUCCCCAAGGGUGCUUAUGUAGGAAGGCUGGUCCCCAGGGUGGUGAUGGUAAGAGGUGAUGGAACGUUUCAAAGGUGAGGCCUGGUGGGAGGUCCUUAGGUAACGGGAGAUCCUGCCUAUAGAAGGAGGUAGGAUAGCUCUCACGUGACUUCUGAGUUCUUACAAGAGUGAGUUGUUAUAAAAGCCUUAGCCUGAUCCCUGAUUUACUCUCUGGCUUCCUGUCUUAAGGAAUGGUCUCUUCCUCCCACGCGUGCUCCAUCCUCCAUGACACCUUCACCAGAGCCGAGUUGGUGCUGGUGCCGUGCCCUUGAACUAUGAGCUAAGUAAACCGUUUUCCUUUGUGAAGUUAGCCUGUCUCAGGCAUUUGAUUAUAGUCAUGACAAAUGUACUGAUAACAAAGUUCCUCUCUUUGCCUUAACAAAUGUUCUUCUCUUUGUCCUCUGCUAUUCCCUGAUUUUCCCCUCUGAGUUCUAGGAAGGGCUCAAUCUUUCAGCCUUACCAUGUCACCAGGAAUCAAGAGGAUGGUGACAACUUUGGCCCAUACUGUCACCUGUCACCACUGUCAUCCAUCCACCACUUGGAUUUACAUGGUUUACUUUAUGGAGCUCAAAGGCCUGGGGCUUUGCACGUAUGACCUCCUUCAACGCGGAAGUUGGAAUGAUGACACAGGCAUCCUCCCAUGUGAUGUGUGACUGGCUCCAGCCAACUCCUAUCUUCUGAACACAUUAAACAUAUCCCAAAGCCAGCCAUGUCUCUCCACUGCUGCUGUCCUGCUGCAGGCCCUGGCGCCUGUCUGGACAUGCCACAGCCGCCUAACUCAUCUUGCUGCACUGCAGUUACCUGUGUUGUCCAUUCUGCUUGCAGCAGCUGCAGUGACUGUGGUCAGUCUCUCUGAUCAUGUGUCUCGUCUCCAGACCUGCGAUAGGUUCCCAUCUACCUCAGAAUAAAAGCCAGACUCCUUCCUGUGAGACCCAAA